CUCCUACGGGAGGCAGCAGUGGUGAAUUUUCCGCAAUGGGCGAAAGCCUGACGGAGCAACGCCGCGUGAGGGACGAAGGCCUCUGGGCUGUAAACCUCUUUUAUCAAGGAAGAAGAUCUGACGGUACUUGAUGAAUAAGCCACGGCUAAUUCCGUGCCAGCAGCCGCGGUAAU
rnacentral:rRNA from 1 species